CACACACAUGAUGAUCGUUUAGGGACUUAAUACUGAGAUCCUUUGAUGUUUUGUUUGAUCUGAUGUGC